UACCUGAUUGAUUCUGUCAGCGCGAUAUGCUCAAGUAAAAGAUUAAGCCAUGCAUGCUUUGAUUCAUAAAUGAAAUUGCGUACGGCUCAUUAGAGCAGAUAUCACCUUUCUCGGAAUCCUGAAAAGGAUAACUGCGGAAAUUCUGGAGCUAAUACAUGCGACUAUACUCCAACGCAAGGCGGGGUGCAAUUAUUAGAACAGACCAAACGUUUUCGGACGUUGUUUGUUGACUCUGAAUACCGUCGUUUACUGUCAGUUUCGACUGACUCUAUCCGAGAAGGGUGUCUGCCCUUUCAACUAGAUGGUAA
rnacentral:ncRNA from 1 species